rnacentral:tRNA from 1 species
GUGGUGGCUCAGGGGUAGAGCGCUGGCCUAGCACAUGUGAGGCCCUGGGUUCGAUCCUCAGCACCACA